rnacentral:rRNA from 1 species
UACGUAGGGGGCAAGCGUUGUCCGGAAUCAUUGGGCGUAAAGAGCGUGUAGGCGGCCAGAAAAGUCCGCUGUGAAAACUCGAGGCUCAACUUCGAGCUGUCGGUGGAAACUUUCUGGCUAGAGUCCGGAAGAGGAGAAUGGAAUUCCUGGUGUAGCGGUGAAAUGCGCAGAUAUCAAGAAGAACACCCGUGGCGAAGGCGGUUCUCUGGGACGGUACUGACGCUGAGACGCGAAAGCGUGGGGAGCGAACAGG